rnacentral:tRNA from 1 species
GGGACUGUAGCUUAGUGGUAAAGCACUUGCUUUGAAUGUCUGAGACACUGGGUUCAAUCCUCAGCACCCCA